ACGUAGGUGGCAAGCGUUGUCCGGAUUUACUGGGUGUAAAGGGCGCGUAGGCGGGAGGGCAAGUCAGAUGUGAAAAUCCACGGCUUAACUGUGGAAGUGCAUUUGAAACUGCUCUUCUUGAGUACUGGAGAGGCAGGCGGAAUUCCCAGUGUAGCGGUGAAAUGCAUAGAUAUUGGGAGGAACACCAGUGGCGAAGGCGGCCUGCUGGACAGCAACUGACGCUGAGGCGCGAAAGCGUGGGGAGCAAACAG
rnacentral:rRNA from 1 species